rnacentral:rRNA from 1 species
CCUACGGUGGGCAGCAGUGAGGCAUAUUGGUCAAUGGGCGCAAGCCUGAACCAGCCAAGUCGCGUGAGGGAUGACGGUCCUAUGGAUUGUAAACCUCUUUUGUCGGGGAGCAAGGCCCGCCACGUGUGGCGGGAAGGAGAGUACCCGACGAAAAAGCAUCGGCUAACUCCGUGCCAGCAGCCGCGCUAAUACGGAAGGUCCGGGCGUUAGCCGGAUUGACUGGGUGUAAAGGGAGCGUAGACGGUUAUGUAAGUCUGGAGUGAAAGCCCGGGGCCCAACCCCGGGACUGCUUUGGAAACUGUGUAACGGGAGUACAGGAGGGGCAGGCGGAAUUCCUGGUGUAGCGGUGAAAUGCGGAGAUAUCAGGAGGAACACCGGCGGCGAAGGCGGCCUGCUGGACUGAAACUGACGUUGAGGCUCGAAAGCGUGGGGAGCAAACAGGAUUAGAUACCCUUGUAGUC